CUUGAGUUGAAUACUACUCUUAUCUGUCCUGUUUUUUUUAGGAUGAUACACACCAAAUAUGGCACCAAGGCUAGGAAAAUCCCCAAUUUGCGCCUCAGUAAGGGCAGUUGCGACAAGAGAUGCGACAAACUGAAAAGUCGCCCAUGAUGAAUUCCUUACCACUGGAUGAUAUCAACUAAAAUUUUAACUUGAUCCAUAUAUGCAAAGGACUAUAUCAGAUUUUAGGACUAUGUCGAUGACCAGCAUUUUUAUUUUUUAUUUUAAUAAAAUGGUUAACAAGG